UACGUAGGGGGCAAGCGUUGUCCGGAAUCACUGGGCUUAAAGGGCGCGUAGGCGGACUAUCAAGUCUGGGGUGAAAUCCCGCGGCUCAACCGUGGAACUGCCUCAGAUACUGACGGUCUCGAGGGAGGUAGGGGCAUGCGGAACUGUAGGUGGAGCGGUGAAAUGCGUUGAUAUCUACAGGAACUCCGGUGGCGAAAGCGGCGUGCUGGACCUCUUCUGACGCUGAGGCGCGAAAGCUAGGGGAGCAAACGGG
rnacentral:rRNA from 1 species